GUUUAUUUUAUUUUUUUGUUUAUUUUUUGUUUUUUGUUUCCUUAUUUAAAUUUUUAGGCUACAAAAGUAGAUGUGUAGGGAUGUCUCAGAGGCUCCUAGUGCCCAUAGCUUUCUGUGGAGCAGUGUUUUCUGAUCUUCUCCCUUACAAAGUCUUAUCCUAGGUGCCUAGAUGUUAAGGAAGGCAUUGAUUGUGAUGUUGCUCUGAGGUGAUGGGGGAGGAAAUCUGUCCAUCAGGUAGCACAAUACCACACACUAUGUGAGUCAACAAGAAAGGGGGCUUACAUGGGCGCACAGUCCUGGGCCAACAUGAAAAGUUGGAUAUGGUGGUGGGUUUCAAGGCUGGCAGAGGCCUGACAGUAUCACGUGGCAAAACAGAAAACAUUCAGCAUCCUCCAAUCGUUCUCCUAGUGCCAGCACUGUUCACUCCUGGGGUUCCAUCCUGGUGAGUUUACCUAAUCUCAUCACCUCCACAGGCUCCAUCUCUAAACAUCAUAGCUAAUGAAGAUUCAGUCCUCGUAAUACCCCACAGUAGGGAUUCAACCACAGUAUAAAUUUACUCAUCUUGGAGUCCACAGAACUUGGUUUCUUCAUACAUCUAUUCUCUUUAACUCCAACCUAAGGAUUCUUUGUGUCAGUGCUGAUGAUAUUUUGGACCAGAUAAUUGGGGGGGGGGUAGGGUGCUAAGUCUGAGACUGUGUGCAGCAUCCUUGCUUGUCCUUAACUCGGAGUAACAUCUCCGUGAUCAUGACAAUCAGAAAUGUCGCAAGACAUUGCCAAAUGUCCCCUGGAGGUCAAAAUUGCCCCAGGUUGAGAGCUGACAUAAUCACCAACAAUGUAACCUGCAAAGGUCACUUAGCAUCUCUGUGCCCAAGUCCUUAUCCAGAAAAUUGGAACAUGGAAGUAGAUUGUGGCGGUAUCCUGUGGGCGGUAUCCUCUGCCCACAGCUGUCAGGGGAGCAGUACAGAGCUAGAUGCUGAGGGCUUCAAAAAGCUUUGGGGUGAAGGGGGAGGAAACCUGUCCAUAUCAGUUAUGGAGCAAUCCAUACAGUGCAGGAGUUGGAUGCAGUUCUGUGGCUCUGAGCAUCUCGUCACAGUGGUGCAACUGUUCAUGCAGUUUGGGACUUCUGCGAAGAAGAGAACCAUCUCUUCUAACAUGUGAACCUUAGGACAGUGAUGUUGCCUCUCAGAAAUCUACUUCGAGCACCCUUGUGUAUAAAUCUACCUUUCCAGGAUCUUCUGAGAAUCCCAGUGGACAGUGGGUUCAGUGGCAAAGCAUGGAUAGUGGGAUACUGCUGGCUGUGAAUCUUGUUACGCUGGGGUUAUCUGCAGAUGUUGCCAUAGGGGAAGGUGACAAGGAGAGGCCUUGCUGUAGGAAAUCAGAUAUUCCAUAAGCAAGACCUCUUUUUUUUUCUCCAGCCACUGGGGGUUUAGGUAGCUGGCCUCUGUCAGCCUCAGAUCUUUGCUGUGUCUCAGAAGAUAUUUGGGGGAAGAUAUUCUGCCACUGGGCCACACUGGGGUCUACUGUUAAAAACUUUUCUCUGCUAAGGAACUUUGGUUCCUCUUAAGUGAGACCCAAUGUAGACCUGCUCUUGAAGUCAGUACCCUAUAUCAACACAUCUCUGCUAAGUUUUUUUUUUAAUGACACAGCAUGUCACCUCAAACUUCUCUGACAAGCACCUUUGCAAGCUCAGUGUUCUAACUCUGCCAAGCGAAAACUGUGAAUCAUUGAGGUUUCGUCACUUUCUUAAGGCAGAUCUCAACCCCAAGUGUAUGGCUCCAUCAGAAACACACACUCUGUUCCCAGGUCUCUAUGCAUAGGCGAAACAAAGCCAAGGGAGAAAGCAGAGUUGGCUCUGCUCUGGCAAUGAGAGGAAAGGCAGUUGUAGACAGGUCCAGCUUUGAGAGUCCAGGACCCGGACAGCUGGAAGAGAUAGAUCAUCAAAUGCCCUCAAGCCAGGCUGACUUCCCUGUGAGGAUCUGGGGAAGCUGCUGCAGACUUCCUGGUCCUGGCUUGGAAGCAUCUCCCUAAUCUGGCCCUGAGUGACAUGAGUGACUAUAGUCCACUAUCAUGAACCAAUGGAGCCAGGGGUCUCCAGGCAACCUCUCAGAAGUCUUCAAGCCAAAAGAGCAGGGUCAUUGUCAAUGUUAACACUGUAAUCCAGCUUUCUUUGGGUCAUAGAAGUACAUCCUCUAGCAAUAUAUUUGGGGUGCAGUUGUCCCUCUAGAAAAUUCUGUUUAGAAACAGACCAUGUUCUUGACCAACAUCACAAAUAGGGUCCAACAAUGGUCUCCAAAGACUUCUCAUUUAUCACUGACCACUAAUAGAAAAAAAAAAUCCAACCUACAUCUAGGAUAUACACAUUUCUCUGCAAUGCAUAUAUAUGUACUCCAAUUGUAAAGAUGUAUAUUUUUUAAAGUACUAUCAACACAAUAGGAAUGGUAGAAUUAAAAUCUACAACGGCUUGUCUAUGUACCCCCAGAAAGUCAAACAGGUCCCUUGAAGUACAUUAAACCCACUCUGGAGGCCAGUGUCUUACACAAGACAGCAGCUGACAAACUCAAAUGUGUUUUGCAAACCAUACCUUUUAAAUAGUUUGGUUUAUGUUUUUGUUGAGGUUGUUUGUUUGUUUGUUUGUUUGUUUGUCUUUUCCUUCUCCAAUUCAGUGCUCAGGCACCUAAUCCCAACCAGUCCCAUUCCAUUUUGUGAGUUAAAAAAAAUAAUAAUGAUGACAUACCUUCAUAUCUGCCAAAGGGUUUUUCUUUCCUUUUGCUUUCUUUUCUUUUCUUUUUUCUGCUGCAGAAGCAGUUUGAGAGAGAAGUUGUCAUCUCGCCCCACAGUUAUGUAAAUCAGAUAGUUAUUUUUGACACUGGUAAAUAAUAGUUCUGUGCACUGACACUGUUUGCCUACCUUAUCCUGUAAGGUCUCCAGUCAGAAUUCAGAUGUUAGUAAGUGAUUAGCAUUAGGGGGCUAUGGCAAGCAAUUUCUACAGUGUUCUUCACCUAUCCUGAAAAGGUGAUUAGUAACAUUGGUAGGGAGAGGGGAGGGAAUGUCACACAGAUUGCUUCUUUUGAUCAAGUCAAAUCAAGAUGUGUGAUGAGAAGAUUGGCUGGUACAUAUGUAACAUCCGUAGCCUGGGUUGUCCCACAUUCAGGUUGACAUUAACACGGUCUGCUUUUAUCAGAAAGUCAUCUGACUUCUCUUCAGACGGUGUGAAAAUCCCUACCCCAUAUGAUAAGAUUACUACAAAUUAUUUGAUGCAGAGCAAAAAGUAGAAUAAAAAACGGUGUAUUGAUGGUGACAAUACAAAAAAAAAACAGCACUAUUAUAAAAAAUGCCUAAAAAAACCUAAGACAGUGUUCCCUGCCCACUCUAAAAAUAGCUAAUUGAGAAAGAUUCCUUUAUGUUAAUGUUCUUAAUUGCUGAGGCAGUUUUACAGGAAAGCCAGUUAGUUACUGGCUAGUGCUUUGAGAGUCCUAAUAGCCAAAGCCAGGGGCUCCCUUAAAUAACGUCACAGCAGGAGAGCCUUUGCCUUCCUGUGUGACUGUACUGGAAGUCUUUCUGGCUAAUUAGUGAAUCAGUCAUUAUGCAAAUGAGCAACUCCUGAUUGGCAACAGCUUGUAUCUUUUCUCCACCACCCUUGCAAAUGAGGCCAACUGAGUGGUUGUUUGCAGUCUUAAAUGCAGAAUAAGAAAAUGAUAAAAGUCCUACAGAUGGUCUCCUUUGGAGAUCACAUGACCUAAUAUCUCUCUUUGCAGAUGAGGAACCAGCCCUUAGAGGUUGGGAGUCUUGCCUAGAGUCCCUGACUCAGCGAGUGGUAAAACUGAGCUCAAAUCCAGUUAUUGUUUUCUUUAGUUUGGUUUUUAACUUGGAAGAGUUCUUUUGUUUUCACUGCCUUUAAUUUUUAUCUCAGUUUGUAAGUUUGGUAUUGUGCACACAGCAUCUGGAGGGAUGCUGCAUAGCAAUCUGGGAAAGGAUAGGAUAAAAAUGGCGCCAGGUCAAGGAAUCUUAAGACCUAAGAUGCUUUGGACUUGAACUUCUGACUUUCUCUUUCUGAAGAUCUUGAAGCUUUUUUUCCAAGGGAAAUAUCCCUGUGUCUUAGGCCAGUGGCAAAAGUGAUGGACAUGACAUUCACACGCCCUUGACCACCUCUGCCUGCUUAGGAAGUGUCCGGGGUUUCUGUUUUUCCCUUGAGAUCUAAGCUGAGGCCAAUGUUUUAAGUCAGAAAAUUUGUAUUAUGAAACCGCUACACUUCUGAACGGUUGUGGCCAGAUCUUUUCUUUCUUCUUUUCUUCUUCUUUUUUCUUUCUUUUUCCAACUCCCUUUGUAAUCAUCUCAAAGCCAAGUGCUCAUUUCCAGCAGAACCUUAAACAUUGUGCCUUUAUGUAGCACAGCUUUUAAUUUUCCUCCCUAACAGAAGUGAUUGUUUAUGUUGUAAAUGCCACAUUAGUCUCCAUGAAAUGGAGAUGGAAUUGAUUUUCAUUUCAGAGAUUUCACAGCUUGCCCCAGAACUUUAUGCUUGAUUGCCAAUGCUCUGAAAUGCCUGGGCUUCCGAGAGGCUUAGAAAUGAUGUGUGUAACACGGCAUAGCAAAAUGUGAGAACGGGAGCCACAUUUGUCACAGGGCAGACCCCUAAGUCUCAGUGAAUGUAUCUGGCCAGGAAGCCAAGGAAACCAAUGUCCUGAGCUCAGGCAAGGAUCGUGUCAAAAAACAGAGUACAGUCCAACAUGAACUCAAUCCAUAGCACCAUCAGUUUCCCUGCCCAGUGUCUGGAGGAUUAUCUGCAGAGCCCCUCUUUCCCAAGAACCUACUCAGAACCUCUUCAUAUGUUAGGAGCAAAAGGAGGUGACGUAUAUCCUUUAAGAAGCUUGUGAUCUAACUGGGGAGCAAAAACACAGGAUGCCACCAGAGAAUUUGGCAGGGACCAGGGGAUGUGCUCCAAGCUGAAUUUGGAAUGUAUGCUGCUCAGAGCCAAGGAAGGAGAUGGCUGCGCUGGCACACGGUGAGGAGGGGGCAGACAGAGGCAGGUGUCAGAGUGACCCAAACCAAAGGUUUUAUUUUUGCCUUAUCUCCCCCUCUGCUUUUGGAUCUGCAGCCCCCACCUCCUGGGGGAGCCUGUUGCAUUCAGUGGCUGAAGCCAACAUGAGCAGAUGGUGACACUCUCUUCCAGGGAUGUGAGAUGCUGCCACAGGCAUUCCAUGGGCUUGAACCAUAAUACAUCUGUCCUGGUCUUAGUCAGUUGUUGGUCUAAUCGUCUCAAGACCAGGCCUUCCAGAGGACCCAACAUACUGCAUAGUGUAUGCCCCGUCCUUGAACUCUCAGAAAUCUCUACAGCUUCAAGAACUCCCCCAUAACUGAAGGUGUCUGAAUACAAUUGACCUUCCAUACAAUACAAUACAGAUAUUAAUUAUCUGUCUACGUAUCAUUUGUUACAUCCAACAGACCACUUUAAAGGCUUUAUGUUUAAAUAAGGGUAGGCAGAGCAACAUCACUGCUGCUCACAGUUUCCAUGGCAGGGUUGGGGUAGAUCAGUGAUGCUGGAAGACAUCAGGGGAAUCUCAUUUUGAAUGAUUAUCAUCAUUGUUAAUUUGAACAUUUCUACUUAAUUGUGUCUAGCUUCAUUGAGUUAUAAAUAUGUAUAUAUUAAUGUUAACAAUAUGAGCGUUAUUGGCCAAAUACAUAAUCGGUGAUUAAAACAGAAGUCUCCUGAUGUGUCGGAAACUGCCACCCUAAAUGAAUGAUAUGGUAUAAAAGAGCUCAAGCUUUAUUGCCAGUCAGUUAAUGACACUUUUGCUCAGCUAGGAACAACUGAGUGUGAGUGAAUAUUUCUAUGAAAGGCUACAAAAUCAAAGGUUGGCACUGACACACUCUCUCCUCUCUCCCUUCUUCCCCCCUUCCCUGUCUUCCCUCCCUGCCUCCUACCCUCCUCUUCCUUCUCUCAUUCCUUCCCCUUCUUUCCUUUUCCUCCUCUCUCUGUCUGAAUGGCAGACAGCAAACACACACACUCAGGGUGAAGGUAAAGAGGUUAAAAAAAAGAUGCAAUUGCAUGGCACAGGAAAGAGCCACAUAGAGGCAGCAGGAAGACAUGUUUUUGACAAGGGUAGCUAGAGUUAGCUCUUGCCAGAAGUUUCCAUCCAGAAUAAGGUGAGGGAGGGUGGUGUCACAGGUGUGUGGGGAAGUUGAGAGUGUCAGCAUGCACUAUUUUUAUAUUGUAGGUCCUCAGCUUCAUUCAUUCAUUCAUUCAUUCAUUCAUUCGGGAACCUUGCCAGUGUGGAAGAAGCAGGAGGAGGAGGGCCAAGCCCAGUGCUCCUUUUGCAUCAGAGAGCAGUAUUGAUUUUCCACCCAUGACUACUGAAAUUAGAAUUUCUUCAUGAAGCAGGGUUCCUUUCUUGUCCUGUUCCUUAUCUUUUUAAAUAUGAUUACCUGCACUUCAGGGCUUCAUGGCUAAAAUUGUAAUGAACUUCCCCACCCACUCUAGUGGAAGAGAUCAAGAGGAGCUGCCUGCAGGCUUGUGUUUGUGGCAGGAGGAGGGCAGGCACAGACCUUGGACUGGAAUAAAUUCUCCUCUGGGUACUUAAUGCCCUAUCUGUGGGCCACAGACUUAUUGACUUCCUGCUAAUUUUCUUGCCAGGGUAACUCUUCCAAUCAAGAUUUAAAACAAACUAGGUUACUAAAGUGCUGGAGAUUAAAACCUAAUGCUUUUAUAUAUAUAUAUAUAUUUGAUUAAGAUACCCUUAUCUGGAUUCUUUGGGCCCAAUUUAAACUUCCACAGAGUUUCCUUAAAGGGCCAGGUCUGUUUGUUUGCAGCACAUUCCCGCCCCACACAUCUGCCUCUCCUGCUGUGUGUUUGCUCACCAGGAACAAGAAAUAGAUUAUUCCCACUGCAUCAACUCUCAGACAGCUGCUCCGUGCAAUUUUCUUCACUGUCUUACCAUGUAAAAAGAGACCGCUCAUUUCCUAAGUGGUGAUUUGGACUGACCUAUAUUUUAGGAAAGUGCUAGAUUCACCAUCAGCUCCUCUGCGUCCAUUGUCUAGCCCCCAAACCUUAAUAGAGAAUUACACUUAGAGAGAGGGCUGAGGAGCAGACAGCUCAGGAAGAGCCCAGCAUGGCCACCUGAUGCAGCAUCACAUAUCAGGCUCCCUGGGGACUUUAAAGGUGAUCUUUAGCUUUUCUCUUGUUCUCCCCGACUCUUUGCUCCUCAGGUGAGCUGAUUCCCCUCUGGCCCGCAUCUGAAGAAAGUUUUGUCCAACAUCUAGGCCAUAAACCAGGCAGAUGCUGGGCAUUUCACUGUUUGCUGUACAUAUAAAUUUGCAUCGUGGAAAGAAGUCUCCAAAUUAAGAGCCAGCUCAACUGCAUGGUGAGAGUGAAUGGAAGAUAGAGAGAGGUGCAAACAGUGUGAAGCCACAGAAGCGAGUUCUAUGGAAUCCUGGUCUCUGCACCAAACAUCUUUAUUUUCCAUCAAGUUUUCUUUUAAUCUUGCUUUCUAUUAAAAGUCUUCUCAAAGCUAAUGCAAUAAAUUUAGAUCUGUAGCCAGAUGCAGAGCAAAACUUUUGGCAGGGAAUACUCCAUCAAAAGACAUUGCAAAUGAAAUAUGCAUUCCCUUGGGGAUUAUUCAACAGUUUAAUUUAAUUUGAAAUAUCAAAUUAAAUUAAUUCAAAUGGUUAUGCAGUUUCCAGGGAAAACAGACUUCAUUUAUGAUGUUCUGCCACCAAACUGUUUAGCAGCCAUCAUGUAUCUUACAUUGUUAACUAAGUGAUAAAUAGUGACAGGGUAGUGUCCUCCCCUCGUUUCCCAAGCCCUGCCUUGCAUCGACUGCACGCAAGCCCUUCUCUCACUGGGGCAGCAUAAAUAUCUACUAAUACUAUGUGUGCUGAGAUGAGUAUUAUCUGUGGGCCUUUCUAUCCACUAUUUCCAAGCAAAUAAUAAAGCACAGGGGGCCUCACAAGGGCCUGGAUAUGAUGACCCAUUUUGAAAAUGGGAGACAGGAGGCAUGAAUAUUUAUCCAACAGGUUCCAUAUGCAUAAGCUGGACAGGAAUCAGGAGCUCUGACCUGUGGCCCAGGUCCAACCCUCUGUUUUACCCAGUGUGCUGCUCCUAGAUGGUAACCAGUCUCAAAGAUUCUUGGUCUCUACAGUUCAAACAUUUAGAAAACUUAGUUGUUACUGAAUCAGUGAAUCAACACAGACAUGUGGAAUGCCGAAGAGGAGAUAUUUACCACGACUCCCUAUAACUAUCUUUUAAUUUAUUAUUUUUUGCUUACACUUAUUUUCUUCUAAGCAAUCCAGAAAAGUGGACAUCUUUGUUGCAGUAGUGCAGAAAGGAAGGUUCCAUCCCAUAUCGAUAACCAAAGGAUGCUCUGUCAGGUGCUAGAAGGCACAGCUGGCUGGGAGUUGUAGCAAAAGCCACAGAUGCCUCUGAGAGGUAGGAUCCCAAUCCUUUGGAUUUGAGAGGCGUCCUCAGGCAUGACAAACAAGGACAUAUCGGAACUUUAUAUUUUACAAAAUUCUCUUCCCUGCUUUGUCCUUCCUUCCUUUCUUUCUUCCUCCUUCCUUCCUUCAUUUUUUUUUUUUUGGUUGGGAAUAUAACAUAAUUACAACAAUUCUCCCUUCCUUUCCCCCCCUCCAAACCCUCCCAAGCAUUCCUCUUUGUCCUCUCAUUCACUGCCGCUCUAUUAAUUGCUAUUACAUACAUUUGUGUAUAUGUAUGUGUAUGUGUAUAUGUAUGUGUAUAUGUAUGUGUAUGUGUAUGUGAAUAUGUAUGUGUAUAAUGUAUAUGUAUGUGUAUAUGUAUGUGUAUAUGUAUGUGAAUAUAUAUGUGUAUAAUGUAUAUGUAUGUGUAUGUAUAUACAUAUAUAUCUUCCUAAAUAUAACCAACUCAGUCUGUAUAAUGUUGCUUCUAUGUAUGAUUUCUGGGUUGACUAUUUGGUACAGGGUAACCUGUUGGUAUGCUAUUGUAAUACCUGGGAAAGACUAAUUCUCCCACUCACAGAAUUCUGUAGCCACUUGUUUUCCUUUUACAGGAUUGUGUUCUUGUGGACUUUCCUGUCCAUGUUGGCUUGCCUUUACUAUCAUCCUUUUCAGCCCAUGUUUAGGCAGGCGUGUUGAUGAGACUUUAUAUAUACAGCUCCUGACAUUACUAGAAGAUACAAUCUCGCAGCAAACUCCCAGAUCCUCUGGCUCUUACACUCUCUACGCCCUCAUUCUCAGUGUUCCCUGAGCCUUAGGUGCCAGUGUGUAGUCAACGUAUCAACUGGGACUAGGCUUCACAACUCUGCAUUUUGAUUGGUUGCGGUUUUCUGUAGUGGAUUCCAUCUGUUUCAAAGAGAAAUUUCUUCAACAAAAGGCGAAGACGUCACUUGUAUGUGAAGAUAUAGCACUUAGUGUAAAUGAGACUCAAUGAAAACCACCCAAAUUAGACUACUCUGUGAGUAAAAAAAAAAAAAAAAAAAAAAAAAAAAGUUUGUUGCAGAAUUAAAACUGCCAGGGUUGUCUCUGGAUUGAGAGGCUAGGAGAACAGGUUGAGGUGGGAGUAAGAUGUGAUCUGUAACAGUUACAGGGUUAUUUUAGUCUAUCAGAAACUAGAUGCCCUUGCCUGAGGAAGCUAGCUGUAGGGGAUAGAUACAGGAAUGGCUUUUCCUGACAGAAAGCCACUUUCCAAGAUUUCUGAGUGAUGCUGAUUUUAGGUAGCAAUCUUGUUUACCAGAGUUGAGCCCUGAUUGUCGUUUGGGACAUUGUCAGUGACACAGCCAGUUUUGGAUCCUGCUCUGGACCUAACCACAAGUUUAUCAAACUUGUGUGCUAUUCCUGAGUCUCUGCUGCACUCCAUCUCCUUCCUCCAGGAAGCAUACAGGACCAGUUGUUCCUUCUCCCACGCUCCUGUUUGGGAUUUUUUUUUUCUCUAGUCCAGUUAGGAAAAUUUGUGGAUUUGGAUCUUUCUUUCAUCACAAGAAAUGGGAUUUACAUUCUUCUUCAUGUGAAUCUUUGGUAGAAGAAAAUAUCAGUGACUAGAAUGCCAGCAAUAGGCUAGAUGCCGUUCUGAUGCUCAAAGACCAGUGAAGUAUCCUCCAACCCUGUGUCAGUUUUCAGGUGCAAACCCAGCGAGCUUACUCUGCUGAAAUCAUAACGUUAUUAUGCAAUCAUUAUUAUUAACACAGUCGUGAUAAUGUUAAUUCCACAACUACAUAAUUAACUCAUCAGCUACUUAACAUCUAGAAUUCACUUGAACUCAAACAAGCCUAACCCUGGCAUACCCUUUCCCAUUCAGAGGAGAAGGAAUCUACAAAAUUCCAAAAGGGGAAGAGUCCUAAAGAUGGUUUCAAAACCCAAUGCCAAGUGAUCUUACUUGGCUUGCAGAGAGUAAUAAAAGUUAGAGUUUUGAGAACCUCUCAGAGCCUAGGGGGAAUCUUUUCAAUGCAAUGUCUUCCUCCACUUUCAUAUCUAAGUAAAAGAGAUUGCUGUUGUACAUAUUCUACAAAGAGAAAACUAAGACAUAGGAGAUACAAUAACUGGGCCCUAGUCACGAUCAAGGGGGAGUUGGGAUUUGAAGCUAUGUCUUUCUACCCUUAUAGACCUUACCUUACUGUAAUGUUCUAUACUGUGGUUGACACAAGUGUAUAUUGAGAAGCAUGGACUGGUGUGUGUGUGUGUGUGUGUGUGUGUGUGUGUGUGUGUGUGUGUUUGAGUGUGUGUGAGUGUGCCCACUCACGCUCGCACGCGUGUGUGUGUGCUCCACUCAUUCAUCCUCUAACAUUUUUUCAUGCGUUUUCUCUUAGGCUUUCUUCCUCCUCUUCAUUCCAGAUAAAUAUUGUAAUCUUCUGUUUUUCACUCAAAAGAAAUUUGAGAUAAGAAUGCAUUUGCAAAAUGUAUUGCAUAAUUACUUUGCACAGCUUCUGAACCAAUGGUCACUCUUGCCCCCUAAGACCUUGCUCUCCAAAGUUACUGUGACUCUCUCAACAAACAGUUAGACAUGGAGACAACUGUCUCUCUGUGACAAAUGCCAGCAGAAUCAAGUUUAUUUGGCUGGUGGAAGAGAAACUGCAGCAGUGUUUUAAAAACAGCUUUCAAGUUCCUAACAGAGCUAUCAAAAACUUCCCAGAUGCUCGCCAUUGCCAGCAAGAAUGGAACAGAAGGAAAACUGAUUCGCUCAAAGCAAUAGACAUCCUGAUUAUGUAUGGGAACUUUCUGGCUGUUAGGAGUUAUGAGAGGAGAGAUGGUUGCUGAAGCAGGUUGUCCUUGAAGAUCUUCCAGAAUGAGAGUUUGCUUCCUGGGGUAUUGGACCUUCCUGGGGUGUUGGACCUUCCUGGGGUGUUGGACCUUGGGGAGUAGAAUUAAUGCGCUGAGAAGGAAAGUCAUCCCAUAUGAAUUAACAGGAUACAUUCAGACCACUCAUGUAGACCACGAACAUGAAGAAGCAGUGUUAUUAAUUCUCUGGUUAAUUCCACAGAAUAGACAUUACAUAGAAAAUAUUUAGUCUAAAUAAUCCUGAUUGAUUUCUCUGUCAAAAUCACACAUGGACACAUCCAUAUAGAAAAACUAGGCAAGAUCAUAUUAAGAUAACUAAUUUAAUUGGAUUUAUAAAAAUCUAUAAACGUGCUUAUCUCCUUUGAGAUAAGUUUCCUGCAAAUCUAAGCCCUCUCUAGAGUGACAGCAUCAUGUGUUUUAUUACCACACACAGAUAGGGAGGAGCGUGAGCAUCGAUGGACCUAGUUUAAGCACCAGUGCUGCCUUUUGUCAGCGUGUUUGAUGUGUGGGAUAUUUCUGCACACUAUAUCUUUGUCUGUAAAGCAGGAACAUUGGACCUACUUCCUUAUGGAAAUGGAGGCCUAACAUUCGACGAUACUUGUAAAUGUCCCAGAAGAAAGAUUGAUGCUUCCCCAGUUAAAAAAAAAAAUAAAAGUGUUUCAUGGAAUGUUUUCCUGCACACAGGGUCUCAUAUCCAGAGAAGACAACACAGUUCUUUGACCAGGGGGGCCUUAAAACUUCCCUGCAAACUCUUGGUUUCUGUUCUGCAGGGCUGUCCCUCCAACCCUGGGCCCAAACUUAAAAACAUUUUCCUGGUAUUUUCUGGCACUUGCAGUCAAUACUGAGGAGGAAGUACCAUACCAGAAUGACUGAACUAAGAAAUAAAGGGCACAAUUCUGGCCCCCAUGUUGCUGGAAUGGCUUUUAUUAGGUCCAUACCUUAAUAGUGGCAAUCAUUUAUUCUGUACCUACUAUGUGCCAGGAACAUAUCUAUGCCUUUAAUUCUUUUCAGUUAACAUAAGCACUGCACUAGAGACUACAUGUGCAUUCUUCAGACGAGGAACUAAAUAACUGAGGUUUCAUGAAAUGGGGAACCUUCAUCAAAGGCCACCUAUAGCUGUAGGUGAGCAAGUAAGUGGACAUUGGAACCCAGCAUGUGUGACAUCAAAAUGUGCAUCACUCCCCUAUCUCGCGCUGCUUGGUUUCUUCAAGUAGAACAUGUGGCUAAUCUGUGAUCUCCAGUGUCCUUCCUCUGUGGCCCAGAUAGAUGAGGGUAAAUCUGGAAUCUUCCCAGCUCUGUCGGCCAGUCUGAACACUCUGACAAUGUGAUCCCUUAGUGAUAUCUCCUGUCCCUUCACAGACUGGUGUUAGGGCAGACUUUAAACCUUUCUUCUUGUGAAAAUACCUGUUGGCUUUGGGGGGGGGGUGUACUUUUCUGUGGGGCUGAGGUAGGGAACUGGACAGAGUUCUUUGAUAAACAAGUCACUUGAAGAGUGUUCUCAGUUCCCCUGAAUCUGCUCUUGGAAUAUAAUCAGGAGCCAUCUGCUAACCUCCUCUCCCUUUGCAUGCUCUUCCUGGCUCCCAGCAGCUGAGGGUCCCGUGAUAAAAGCCACACAAAUGAGGAGAUACAUUUUCCUUAUUGGCACAGAGGAAUAGGACAAGCUGAGCAAGGGUAGUUAGUGAAGUUUUGAAAAGGUGUGGGAGGACCCGAACCAAACAUAAACACCAGCAAUGUUCUAAUUCAGCAGAUAAGUUGUAUCAGGAGAGAGUGAGCGCACCACAUGCCUAUCGUUGAGAAAGGAUCCGGCUCUGAGAGAACAGUCAGAGUCUAUAAAUACCUCCAUGCAAACAGUCUAAAUGAAGGAAAAGAAUUAAUCUUUGCUCCAAAGCCUCAGGACAAGGUGCUGUCAACCUCAGCUUGGAGCAGAAGAUGGAAGGCACAAUAAAAGGAGUUCCAAGCCAGGAGCUGCCUGCGGCAGCAGGACAAACUCUGGAAAACACAGUGGCAACCACCCUCACUGAGGCUUGGAGACCAGAGGAGAGAGAUUAAAUGCAAAUAGGAACAGGAGCCAAAAUGGCCUGGGAAGGCUAGACAGAGGUCAAAUAAGAUCUAAAGAGUUCUUCCACCCAGGAGUCAAUGACCUGAGGAGUAAUUACUUGCUCUUGCAAAUUGCUUGGUAAAUACACUGAGUAAAUCAAAGAGACCAGUUUCAGCAGCUUGCUGGCUAGGGACCAGUAGAGUAAAGGCCAUAGAUUCCGGACUAGAUCUUGUGCAAGGCAUUCUCUGUCAGUGAGAUUUUCUCAGCCCACAGGAUAGCACAGGUGCCCACUUUAAUCCACAGUUCCUAACACAGAGAGAAGUUUCCCUUUUUGUUAAACUUCAGGCUGAGCCUGCCUAGGCUCCCAGCUCCCUUCCUCAGCCCUCUCUCCUGCCUCCUCAGGAGGUCCAAUUCCUGUCCUUUCUGCCCCACCCUCCCCUCCAACAAUAUUAAUGGCUGCUGCCUGAGUACUUGAGCGGAGCGAGGCCUCUCCUCCACAGAGCCUGUUUAGAGAUGGCCCAAAAAGCCUGCUGGGAAUAAUUGUCGCUGUCGGCAAGCUCAAGAAUUAUUGAUGAAGUAACCUUUUGGGGCCUGAGUCUGGGUUUUUGCAGAUGCAACGGCAAGAUUAUUGUUUAAGUGGGGACUUGAUCAGGCGGUGACCUAGAAAACAUUUAGUUCUUUUAUUACUUUCACAGCUUCCUGGGGUGAGCACGGCCUUUGACUAGGAUGCUGGCCUCUGACUAGGUUGCUGGGCCUCUGACUAGGAUGCUGGGCCUCUAACUAGGAUGCUGGCCUCUGACUAGGAUGCUGGCCUCUGACUAGGAUGCUGGGCAGCUUAUUGGAAAAUAAAAUAAAGGUGGUAGGGUGAGACUCGGUGACUCUGCACACUGCCAAAAAGCCAGGAAGCACCCAGGCAAAGCAAGAGAGACCCAAACUUUCCCUAGUUCCCCCAAACUAGAUCCUGUUCAAAACAAUACAGUUUGGGGAGAGGGGGAACAUGCCAUUUUUACCUUAAUAGGCCAUCCUUCCUAGGGCUUAAGGAACUAUAACUGCUCCUAGAGAAGCUGUUAGUGAAGAACUGUAUAGGGGCCUCUGUGCUAGGCAUCGAUCACUUGAAAGAAUAGAAACUCACUUCAGAUGGGGACAUCUAGGCCUCAGGGUCAGGACAAAAGGUACCAGAUGCUGCUGUUGUACAGAAGAGACUAGGAUGCCUGUGAUUUUCCAGUGAGGGGGAUCCACGGAGAGUCUCACCUGCAAAGACAGACAGAUCUGCAAAGAAUGGUACACAGGAGUGUUGUAACUUCCUUUCAAAACACCCCACUCCUUCAUCUGCUCCAGUGUGCCAUGGGCUUGCUCUGCACCUGGCACAACAGACUUAAAGAUUCCAGAGUGAACAAACCGCCUUUAGACUCACGGAGCUCAAGAGAGAUGCACUCCAGGUCCCACCAGGUGCCCUGUAGCAUACAAGGAGCCUAUUCAAAGCCCCUUCUCUGUGAGCACAGCAGCAUCUUCAGAGGAUGCUGCUGCUUCAUGAUAUCAUGAGAACAAGCUCUUGAAGGAUGAAUAGAAGUUUCCUGGCUUGGGAGGAGCAAGCCAGGUAGUCACUAUGAGCUGAAAUGGCUUCCUCGGUUUUAGAGUGCCCAGUGUGAAAGAGUGUGAGUUGAUCAGGCAAGCCUUGUGUUGGGGUCUUGCUACAUGCUAGACCCUGAGCUGAGAGCUUAGCCACUAUACUUUAAUCCUUACACAGCUACCUCCUGUAAGGUGUAAUCAUUGUGUAACUUGUCACAGGCCAGAGCUCACCAGAACAGGAAGGUGAGGCCCAGAGGAUAUGGGAGGUAGCCAGCUUGUUCAAGGAAGGGCAAAGAAGUUAAAGAAUUAGAAUCCACUGUACCAGAGCUGACCGUCAGUUUUGAGGCCACUGGGAUAAGCUCACUCACUUGACAGAGUCACAGCUCAAAGGCCUCUGGCUGCUUGACACUGGGCUUUCAGGGUCUGUGAUAAGAAGUCCAGAAGUACUGUGACCUUUUAAACCAAGGCACAACAAUGUACCUGUCUGGGUGUCAGUGUCUAUGCAGUAACUAUGCAGUGUCACUAAAGACUAAUUUCAGCCAGGUAAACCAAAGCAGGGAGGGAUAAUUUAUACAGUGAGGGUCUACAUACCACUGGCCUUAGGGUCUACUGACCUCAACCAGAAUUUCUAUGGGAGGAACAGAAGAGUGAAGAUUUGUAACUAGCUCCCUGGAAGGAAUGCCAGCACAUUGAGUGUGGAGAUAAUGAGCUGGGAGGUGACUGUGAUGCUGGACGCACUCCAGGUUAGAGCUCACAAAAAGCAGGUCUUGGAUAAAAUGAUGACUAUGUGCAAAGAGGUAGAACUUCCAUACAGAUGUAACUGCCAGAACAUGGUAGAGCAAGAAAGUAGGAAGAGCCCUUAAUUACCCUGAGAUCUGACAUCUUGGAGUUGUGGUGGGUGAUGAUUUUGGUGGCGGGGAUUUAGGGAAAUGUGGGAGGUACUUAAAUUUGAAGAUCUUGAGUAUGGAGCAUCUGCAGGACAUGCCAGUGGAGAUGCCUUGAAAGUCUUUUGCUACUUAAACGUGUGGCUUGAAAGAUAAAGGCAGCUCCAGGCUGGAGAUGAGAGAGCAGAAGUUUGGAUCUGUGGGUGUCUCCUACAUAACAAGGUCCUGAGACACCAGGCCCAGUGUACUGGCUAGUUUUGUGUCAACUUGACACAGCUGGAGUUACCACAGAGAAAGGAGCUUCAGUUGAGAAAAUGCCUCCAUGAGAUCCAACUGUAAGGCAUUUUCUCAAUUAGUGAUCAAGGGGGAAAGGCCCCUUGUGGGUGGGACCAUCUCUGGACUGGCAGUCUUAGUUCUAUAAGAGAACAGGCUGAGCAAGCCAGGGGAGGCAAGCUAGUAAGGAACAUCCUUCCAUGGCCUCUGCAUCAGCUCCUGCUUCCUGACCUGCUUGAGUUCCAGACCUGACUUCCUUGGUGAUGAACAGCAGUAUGGAAGUGUAAGCCAAAUAAACCCUUUCCUCCCCAACUUGCUUCUUGGUCAUGAUGUUUGUGCAGGAAUAGAGACCCUGACUAAGACACCCAGGCAACCCUUCCUCCUCUGCACCUUAGAACAUAAGAGACAGCUCUUUUCCCCAUUUGUUUUCUGCACCUGCUUCUCUACCAUUCCACAGGCUGGUUAGGAGCAAGGACCUGACAUUCAGGGUCAUGUUGCUAAUACCUCAGGCAGAUAUGAGGUUCUUUGUAAAAACUUGAUGAAUAUAACUGAGCGGCAACUCUACCUGGAAACUACUCACCAGUGAAGGACCCGAGUUUGAUUCACAGACACACAGAAAAAGCAAAGAAUGGUGGUAUAUGCUUGUUGUGAUCUAGUACACUGGAGAGGCAGAAACAAGGGCAUCCUUGAGGUUCCCUGGUCAGCCAGCCUGGGAUACUUGAUGAACUCCAGGCGAGAAGAGAUACCAUCUCAAAGGACAAAGUGGAUGAUACCCAAGGAACAACCCUCACACUCCAGGUUGUAUUCUGCCCUACACACACACACACACACACACACACACACACACACACACACACACACACUGAAUUAAUGAAUUAGUGAAGGAAAAUAAAGAACAUAGACAAAAAUCAAGGAAAAGGGCAUGAUCAUAAUCUCAGUGCUCAUCAACAUUGAAUAAACAGAAGUUAAAUCUAUAAAUAAAGAAACUAACUAACAAAGAAAUGGGACACAGCUAUAAUUGCAGAGGCAAGGCUCUGUCUCUAACCAACAAUCUAGCAAAACCUAAGAGACUAUGGGGAAUGGUGGGGUGAGAUGGGGCUGAGUAGGAGAACAUAGUUACAUGGGAAGGAAGGGUUCUUAAGGAGUAACAGCACAGCCACAGCAUCCACUGCUACCCAAGGCCAAGCAGAGUCUUCUUUGGCUGCAUCCCACCACUGCGAAUGGAUGCCAUCAUGAGGCUGGGAGAGUGGAGCAGAGACAAAACAAAAUGCACAAAGUAAAAAAAA